rnacentral:rRNA from 1 species
UGGGGAAUCUUGCGCAAUGCGCGAAAGCGUGACGCAGCAACGCCGCGUGGGGGAAGAAGGCUCUCGGGUUGUAAACCCCUUUCAGUUGGGACGAAGCUUCGUCGGUGAAUAGCCGAUUGGAGUGACGGUACCUUCACAAGAAGCACCGGCUAACUACGUGCCAGCAGCCGCGGUAAUACGUAGGGUGCAAGCGUUGUCCGGAAUUAUUGGGCGUAAAGAGCGUGUAGGCGGCUCGACAAGUCUGCUGUGAAAGUCUAGGGCUCAACCCUGGAAUGCCGGUGGAUACUGUCGAGCUAGAGUCCGGAAGGGGCGAGUGGAACUCCUGGUGUAGCGGUGAAAUGCGCAGAUAUCAGGAAGAACACCAAUGGCGAAGGCAGCUCGCUGGGACGUGACUGACGCUGAGACGCGAAAGCGUGGGGAGCGAACAGGAUUAGAUACCCCCGUAGUCC